rnacentral:rRNA from 1 species
AUGAAGUGGCGCCAAGCUUCUGGCAUUCUCUGUGACAAGAGAGUGCCACAAAAGCUAAAAGGCAAGUUCUACAGGACGGCGGUUCGACCCGCAAUGUUGUAUGGCGCUGAGUGUUGGCCGACUAAAAGGCGACAUGUUCAACAGUUAGGUGUGGCGGAGAUGCGUAUGUUAAGAUGGAUGUGUGGCCACACGAGGAAGGAUCGAGUCCGAAAUGAUGAUAUACGAGAUAGAGUUGGCGUAGCACCAAUUGAAGAGAAGCUUGUCCAACAUCGUCUGAGAUGGUUUGGGCAUAUCCAGCGCAGGCCUCCAGAAGCUCCAGUGCAU